UACGUAGGCAGCAAGCGUCGUUCGGAGUUACUGGGCGUAAAGAGUGUGUAGGUGGUUUUCUAAGUUCGGUGUGAAAUCUCCCGGCUCAACUGGGAGGGUGCGCCGAAGACUGGAAGGCUUGAGUGUGGGAGAGGAAAGCGGAAUUCCUGGUGUAGCGGUGAAAUGCGUAGAUAUCAGGAGGAACACCUGCGGUGUAGACGGCUUUCUGGACCAUAACUGACACUGAGACACGAAAGCGUGGGUAGCAAACAGG
rnacentral:rRNA from 1 species